rnacentral:rRNA from 1 species
CCUACGGGAGGCAGCAGUGAGGAAUAUUGGUCAAUGGGCGCGAGCCUGAACCAGCCAAGUAGCGUGAAGGAUGACUGCCCUACGGGUUGUAAACUUCUUUUAUAAAGGAAUAAAGUGAGGCACGUGUGCCUUUUUGUAUGUACUUUAUGAAUAAGGAUCGGCUAACUCCGGGCCAGCAGCCGCGGUAAUACGGAGGAUGCGAGCGUUAGCCGGAUUCAUGGGGUUUAAGGGGUGCGCAGGGGGGCCUUUAAGCCGGCGGUGAAGUCGCGGGGCUCAACCCCGCCGGGCCGUCGAAACUGGGGGCCUUGAGUGCGGCGGAGGCAUGCGGAAGGCGCGGUGUAGCGGUGAAAUGCAUAGAGAGAGCGCAGAACCCCGAUUGCGAAGGCAGCGUGCCGGCUUCCGACUGACGCUGAAGCACGAAAGCGUGGGGAUCGAACAGGAUUAGAUACCCCUGUAGUC